GAAUGUCAUUGCUGUUGGUGAAGUUAUCUACAGUCUUGGUUUCCUCUUAUUUAAGGACAUGCAUGACUCAAGCCCGUCAAAGGAAUUCCCUAGUGGCCCAGAUAGAGGCUUAUCCAAAGAGAAAUCUGGCCCCUGCAUGAUCUGCUGUGAUGCUGGUUGCACUUUCAAGGAAGCAUCAGAGUGAAACAGAAAACCACCUGUAGAUGACAAGGGACUUAAAACUGCUGUGGUUAACUUCACACUGGCAACACAUUGACAUUGAGGUUGUGAAGACUGUGAUGGCAGCAGUGAGGAAGAUGAUGAAAGCGAGAGCAUGAUACCAUCAAGGACAUAGGUGAACAGAGUGUCUUUCAUAUGGACACUCACUUCCUCAGCUACCCCGGUGAAGGGUCCACCACCAGUGCCAUGCCAGCCUGCCCUGGUUUGCUUCAUCACAUCCAGCACCUGGCCAUACCUCUGGACUCUGGAGUCACAUCCUGUCCGUUAGACUCUCAAGCUUGAAUACAGUCUCGUAAGUUUCCUCACCAAAAUGGCCUAUCUCAUUCCUUUCUGGGGAAGAUUAGACCUAGUCCCAGAGGCUGAUUGAGAAUAGAAGCCACCCUGUCCUUUCUCUCUUUCUCUCUCUCUCUAGUCUUUUUCAAGUUUCUUUUCCCCCUGCACAAACUCUUCUUAUUUCCAUCAGUCCAAAUACUAAAUGCUCCUGUGAAUACCCUUUCUGCAACUCUAGGUGAGGUAUAGCUGCAAGAUCUUGCUGCAGGUUUGUUAAGUUGGAGGUAGGGCUGUUAUUCCUAGGAUCACAAGUCCUUUUAAAGAAAAAUACCAUGUUCUGAACAUUUAACACAGCUUCUUUUUGCCUUUGGUCUUUCAUUAAUUUAAAAAGAAAAAGGAAAGCAUUUUGGGGGUUUUCUUUGUUUGGGUUUGUUUGUUUUUGAGGUGCAGGGGCAAGUGAAGUACUCCUUCACCUGUAAAUUAGAAACAGAAGAAACAGACUUUAUGUCUUCCUGUUGACCUCAAUAGCAACUGGUCUUCAGAAAUGAUCACACAGGCAUUUCUAUAACUGAGUACUUAGGUUAAUUUUCUUCUCCUGACAUCUUGGAAGUGAAAACAAGAUUGGUUUAUUUUUUUAAGAGACGAGGUCUUACUCUGUU